GACGAACGCUGGCGGCGUGCUUAACACAUGCAAGUCGAACGGAAAGGCCCUGCUUUUGCGGGGUGCUCGAGUGGCGAACAGGUGAGUAACACGUGAGUAACCUGCCCUUGACUUUGGGAUAACUUCAGGAAACUGGGGCUAAUACCGGAUAGGAGCUCCUGCUGCACGGUGGGGGUUGGAAAGUUUCGGCGGUUGGGGCUGGUCUCGCGGCUUAUCAGCUUGUUGGUGGGGUAGUGGCUGACCAAGGCUUUGACGGAUAGCCGGCCUUGGAGGGUGACCGGCCACCUUGGGCCUGCGAUACGGCCCAGACUCCUACGGGACGCAGCAGUGGGGAAUCUUGCGCAGUGGGCGGAAGCCUGAUGCAGAGGCGCCGCGUGCGGGAUGCCGUCCUUCGGGUUGUAAACCGCUUUCGCCUUUGCCGAAGCGUGCGUGACGGUACUGGGUAAAGAAGCACCGGCUAACUACGUG
rnacentral:rRNA from 1 species